UCUAUCAGCCAGGUCAUCGUUCUCCCUUAAGGGGAGGAAGGAAAGUCCGGACAGCAAAGGGCAACACACCGGUUAAGCGCCGGGGCCCGCUGAAUUGCGGGAACAGACAGUGCCACAGAAAAUAACCGUCCCGAUGGCAACAAAAGGAUAAGGGUGAAAACGUGAGGUAAGGGCUCACGAUUAUUACGGGUAACCGUGAUAGUGGGUAAACCUUGUGUGCUGUAAUGCCAUGUACACCAGCGCCCGAGAGCGGCCCGUUCGAUGUCGCAGUGAAAUGUGACAGCGUUGGAGGGUAGGCAGCAAGAUCAUAACAGUAAUGUUAUGGCAAGAUAAAUGAUGGCCAUCCCGAUUUUAUCGGGAGCACAGAAUCCGGCUUACCGGCUGAUAGAUUUU
rnacentral:RNase_P_RNA from 1 species